GUUAUAUGGUCAAGUGAAGAAGCGCAUACGGUGGAUGCUUGGCAGUCAGAGGCGAUGAAAGACGUGGUAGCCUGCGAAAAGCUUCGGGGAGUCGGCAAACAGACUUUGAUCCGGAGAUGUCUGAAUGGGGGAACCCAGCCAUCAUAAGAUGGUUACCUUACACUGAAUACAUAGGUGUAUGGAGCGAACCAGGGGAACUGAAACAUCUAAGUACCCUGAGGAAAAGAAAUCAACCGAGAUUCCCUUAGUAGUGGCGAGCGAACGGGGACUAGCCCUUAAGUGGCUUUGAGAUUAGCGGAACGCUCUGGAAAGUGCGGCCAUAGUGGGUGAUAGCCCUGUACGCGAAAAUCUCUUAGUCAUGAAAUCGAGUAGGACGGAGCACGAGAAACUUUGUCUGAAUAUGGGGGGACCAUCCUCCAAGGCUAAAUACUACUGACUGACCGAUAGUGAACUAGUACCGUGAGGGAAAGGCGAAAAGAACCCCGGAGAGGGGAGUGAAAUAGAUCCUGAAACCGUAUGCGUACAAGCAGUGGGAGCCCACUUUGUUGGGUGACUGCGUACCUUUUGUAUAAUGGGUCAGCGACUUAUUUUCAGUGGCGAGCUUAACCGAAUAGGGGAGGCGUAGCGAAAGCGAGUCUUAAUAGGGCGUCUAGUCGCUGGGAAUAGACCCGAAACCGGGCGAUCUAUCCAUGGGCAGGUUGAAGGUUGGGUAACACUAACUGGAGGACCGAACCGACUACCGUUGAAAAGUUAGCGGAUGACCUGUGGAUCGGAGUGAAAGGCUAAUCAAGCUCGGAGAUAGCUGGUUCUCCUCGAAAGCUAUUUAGGUAGCGCCUCAUGUAUCACUGUAGGGGGUAGAGCACUGUUUCGGCUAGGGGGUCAUCCCGACUUACCAAACCGAUGCAAACUCCGAAUACCUACAAGUGCCGAGCAUGGGAGACACACGGCGGGUGCUAACGUCCGUCGUGAAAAGGGAAACAACCCAGACCGUCAGCUAAGGUCCCAAAGUUAUGGUUAAGUGGGAAACGAUGUGGGAAGGCUUAGACAGCUAGGAGGUUGGCUUAGAAGCAGCCACCCUUUAAAGAAAGCGUAAUAGCUCACUAGUCGAGUCGGCCUGCGCGGAAGAUGUAACGGGGCUCAAACCAUACACCGAAGCUACGGGUAUCACUUAGGUGAUGCGGUAGAGGAGCGUUCUGUAAGCCUGUGAAGGUGAGUUGAGAAGCUUGCUGGAGGUAUCAGAAGUGCGAAUGCUGACAUGAGUAACGACAAUGGGUGUGAAAAACACCCACGCCGAAAGACCAAGGUUUCCUGCGCAACGUUAAUCGACGCAGGGUUAGUCGGUCCCUAAGGCGAGGCUGAAAAGCGUAGUCGAUGGAAAACAGGUUAAUAUUCCUGUACUUCUGGUUAUUGCGAUGGAGGGACGGAGAAGGCUAGGCCAGCUUGGCGUUGGUUGUCCAAGUUUAAGGUGGUAGGCUGAGAUCUUAGGUAAAUCCGGGAUCUUAAGGCCGAGAGCUGAUGACGAGUUGUCUUUUAGACGACGAAGUGGUUGAUGCCAUGCUUCCAAGAAAAGCUUCUAAGCUUCAGGUAACCAGGAACCGUACCCCAAACCGACACAGGUGGUUGGGUAGAGAAUACCAAGGCGCUUGAGAGAACUCGGGUGAAGGAACUAGGCAAAAUGGCACCGUAACUUCGGGAGAAGGUGCGCCGGUGAGGGUGAAGGACUUGCUCCGUAAGCUCAUGCCGGUCGAAGAUACCAGGCCGCUGCGACUGUUUAUUAAAAACACAGCACUCUGCAAACACGAAAGUGGACGUAUAGGGUGUGACGCCUGCCCGGUGCCGGAAGGUUAAUUGAUGGGGUUAGCUAACGCGAAGCUCUUGAUCGAAGCCCCGGUAAACGGCGGCCGUAACUAUAACGGUCCUAAGGUAGCGAAAUUCCUUGUCGGGUAAGUUCCGACCUGCACGAAUGGCGUAACGAUGGCGGCGCUGUCUCCACCCGAGACUCAGUGAAAUUGAAAUCGCUGUGAAGAUGCAGUGUAUCCGCGGCUAGACGGAAAGACCCCGUGAACCUUUACUAUAGCUUUGCACUGGACUUUGAAUUUGCUUGUGUAGGAUAGGUGGGAGGCUUUGAAGCGUGGACGCCAGUUCGCGUGGAGCCAACCUUGAAAUACCACCCUGGCAACUUUGAGGUUCUAACUCAGGUCCGUUAUCCGGAUCGAGGACAGUGUAUGGUGGGUAGUUUGACUGGGGCGGUCUCCUCCUAAAGAGUAACGGAGGAGUACGAAGGUGCGCUCAGACCGGUCGGAAAUCGGUCGUAGAGUAUAAAGGCAAAAGCGCGCUUGACUGCGAGACAGACACGUCGAGCAGGUACGAAAGUAGGUCUUAGUGAUCCGGUGGUUCUGUAUGGAAGGGCCAUCGCUCAACGGAUAAAAGGUACUCCGGGGAUAACAGGCUGAUACCGCCCAAGAGUUCAUAUCGACGGCGGUGUUUGGCACCUCGAUGUCGGCUCAUCACAUCCUGGGGCUGAAGCCGGUCCCAAGGGUAUGGCUGUUCGCCAUUUAAAGUGGUACGCGAGCUGGGUUUAGAACGUCGUGAGACAGUUCGGUCCCUAUCUGCCGUGGACGUUUGAGAUUUGAGAGGGGCUGCUCCUAGUACGAGAGGACCGGAGUGGACGAACCUCUGGUGUUCCGGUUGUCACGCCAGUGGCAUUGCCGGGUAGCUAUGUUCGGAAUAGAUAACCGCUGAAAGCAUCUAAGCGGGAAACUAGCCUCAAGAUGAGAUCUCACUGGAACCUUGAGUUCCCUAAAGGGCCGUCGAAGACUACGACGUUGAUAGGUUGGGUGUGUAAGCGCUGUGAGGCGUUGAGCUAACCAAUACUAAUUGCCCGUGAGGCUUGACCAUAUAACACCCAAGCAAUU
rnacentral:rRNA from 1 species